UAUAAAAAAGCAAUGCCAACCAAAAAUUUUUAAGAACAUGCCCAAACCAUCCUGUUCUUCCUGUGUUAAAUACAGUCAUUAAAACAUAAGCAUAUGGUUUCAAUUCUUGACAUAAAUUUCUUGUAUGCAAACUUACGUAAGCAUACGCCUAAGUAUCAGACGUGUGGAGUUUGAAGCAGCAAACUCUCAGAACCUACAGUUUACAGGGCAGGGUGUGAUGCUGGAACGUCACUGCUGGCCACUCCCAGGCUCAAAUCCACAUUAACUGCAGUUUAUUCUCUGGCAAGUAUAGUUUUAAAGAUGCUAAUUUCCUGAUGGUUCUCAUCUUUUCUUAUUCUCCAAUCAUUAUCAAGUCUCCAGAUGUGGUGUUUUCUGGCAGACAAAGCAAAAUAAAGUAGAAAUGUAUGAAAUACAACAAUGAAGCCUGGAACUAGGGAUGGAGUACAUUUAGCUGAAAGGCCAGAGACAGAGAUGAGGUUAAAAAAAAAGAGAACCAAUAGAAAAUAGAAGGCUCUUCUGUGUAGUUUACAGUUUGUGAAGUGUAGCUUAAUAGGCGCAUUUCUGAGGGAAGUGAAACAUGGUAAGACCACAUGAGCCAAACGGUCCUCUGUGUGUGUGUGUGCGUGCGUGCGUGCGUGUGCACAUGCACACAUAUGUGACAGGACCUCUGGCCUUCAGUCAUGGAGUAUUAACAUUUCCUUGAACUAAUAUUAUGUACCAUGUUUAUCCCCUACUGAAUAAAAGGGAAUAUAUUCUUUCCAUGAAAGUUUGAUCAAUAUAGAGCUUAACAUGUUACCUAGUAUAUUCAGACAAUUGAAAUUUCAGGUUGGAAUUAAAGAGAGUGAAGCAACUUAUUUGAAUAAGACCAUCGGUAGAUUAUACUCAUCCAGUAUAACAUCUGCAAACACUGAGUCUUUUAUCUUUCAGUAACUACUUUUAUGUAUCUAAUAGGCAGUGGUUAAAUGGCCAACUGUUACACUUCACACUGAGUUGCCUUCAGAUUCUGUGUUGUGCCGUGUCAGGAGAACUUCAUUACCAGUCUAAACCGUGCCUUUCACCUCUGGUCCAGCCAGUAGAGAAUCCGUUUAGUAGUAACUGGCUCAAGCAAAGCUGGUCUACGAGAGAGGCUGGCGCCUAGUGGAGGAAGAAAGUCCUCGUAAAGGCUUCUCGGGAGUCAGGGAGGCGUUUAUUAACUUUGCAAUUUGGAAAACAUCAUAUCAUGAAAAUUUAAAUAGAAGACCUCACUGGAAGCAAUUUAAAGACAAUGCGGACUUGAAAUGGAACAGGCAGUAGAGAAGGACAGAGGGUCAGAGCCAGUGAAGAGUAAGUGAAUUCUUUGAUGCACCCCCUCGUCUACGCCCGAACUCUGUUCACCGCUUCCCGAAGGUUAUCUCUAACGCUGAUUGCCUGUUUGCAUCCUGUCCUUCUGAGAAACUGGAGCUGCAGCUGUCCUGUCGGUGAACAUAAAAUGCCUUGUGUGGAAUCAGGUCCACUGCCGGGGACACCGGGGUCUGGAGCUAAUUACAGACCUGCACCCGGCGGAGGAGGGGCAGGCAGAGCAGAGCUGGCAUCUGAAUGUUAAUCAGCGUUAAUGAAAGCAGAACUUGGAGAGUGAUCACCUUGACAAAUGGCACCCCCCCAGUCCUUCAUCCAAAGAGCAAAGUUGUCCAGGCUGUUCAAAAGUCCCUCUUUAAAGACUCUGCUCUAUAGUCUGCACUAUACAUACGCAGGAGGCUGAUGAAAGUCGAGGGAAAGUGCCUCCUGCAGUUUACUUGCUGUAUCACCACCAAAGCCAGGGUCUCCUUCGCCUCUGGAAGCGGGAUGAGGGUAGUGCCUGACUGGGUUCUUUUUGUGCAGAGGUGGGGAGGCCACGUCAAGGAGCACAGCCGAGGGAGUGAGGUGCAAAAUGACCACAGUUCAGUGUGUUUAGUGAAAAACAAAGUACCUACGCAUGAAGGGGUGACGAGGUUCAGCGUUUCUGUUCUGCCUCGAUUCCACAGGGACGUAACCUGGGGAGAUUAUGCCCCCCAAACCACACGGCCCUGGCCCUCUGCCUACCGCGGCCGCCUCAACAGAAUACGAAGAAAACAAAAUAAAUCAGUGUCAGAUAUUACAAGUUUAUGUCUAUACGUGAUACAACCGUAAAAUGAGGGGUAUAUAAAAUGGUAAAAUGUACUGCUCUAAGAAGGAGGCAACACAAAAAUAAACGUGCAGCACAGUGACGCGUACUCACCUUCUGUAUCUGUAUGACUUCAGUAAUCACCUUAAUCAAUACAUAUUUUUUUGUUAUGUAAAACCACCACCAACCGAAGAAGAAUGUGACACUGAGGCAGAAGGGGUUCAGACCAAACCUCCCCAGAACGUGCCACUUUGGCGUGUGAAUUACUUUGCGCCAAAGACGGUCAAGGCCCAAAAGACUCAGAAAGAACCUUUAACCUCCCCUCUAGCUACCUAAAAGAAUUGAGACUGGAGGCCUGGCUCAGACACAGAGCUAUGAGCACAGGUAACUUUCAUCUGAAUGACCCAUCUGUACGGCAGGGCAAACAUCGAAUUAGCAAACACCUGCUCUUCUCCUGGCCCUGGGGAUCACCCUCCUCCCGCUGGAAGGACGCCGUGUACGCCUCCACUGCCAGACCUGCCUUUCAGUCUUACAGGACUCCUGUGGCUAUGAAGUUAAAUUUAUUUUUCUCUAGUUAAUCUGCUUUAUGUCAAUUUAAUUACUAGACCAGCCAGAGAACCUAGAAAGUAGAAGGUAAAUUUUUCCUCCCCAAUAAGACCAUAUAAAUAAACAGUUCAUCAUAGCUAAUAAGGCAUUUGCAACCCUUAACAUAGCUGAAAAUUAAUAUUAAUGAGAUAAAUCAUGGUGUAUUCUAACUGGUUGCUGAUUCUACUUUACUGUGUAAAUCAACACUGUCCUCCAACAAUCCCUGACAAUGUUUUAAGAAAUUUCAGUGCAUUCUGGUAUUUUUUGUUGGGUGCAUCUGACAUUUCUGAAGUUAUCAGUUGAAAUGUUAGCCCCACCUUCAGAGAGGAGUUUCCUGUAAGCCACCAUGAAAACGAGAGUCUUUCAGUUGCUGGAAUCAGAGCCCAAACUGUGGUCAGAACCCACAGUUACCAGUACACUGGUUCCAACCCAUUUCCAACUUACCUGUAGUAACACCUACUUUUGGCUUAGAAAUUUAAUUGUUAUUUUCUUAUUCAAAUAUUCCAUAGUUUUAGUUCCUUCCAUUGAAUGCCAAUAUUUAUAUAUAUAUAUGGUUAUGUUUAAAUAAAAACUUUAUGCUAAAGGCAUAUUUUCUGAUUAUUUCUAAUCACAGCUAUAAGUAAGAUUAAUUUUACAAGAUCAUGACUCAGGUGAUUUUAGUGUGUGGUUGUCAGCAUUUGUGGGGGGAAACAAAAGAUGAGAAGCAUGUCUCCUCUUUCUGAUUUGUGACACUGUCACAAUUGCCCUCCUUUUCUCAAUCCUCUAACCCUUGUCCUGUUAAAAAUUUUCUCAUGCAAAUAACACAAAAAGAUAACUAUCUGUUAAAUAUAGGUAGUCAGGUUGGUCCUAAGAGUGUUCAUUUAUCUUCCAUAAGUGACUAAAAUGGUUCUGCUUUUUCUUGCAGAAAAUGUUAUCUUUAAUCAUUCAUCCACACUGAUAAAAUUCCAUUAGUCUAGGUUUGAAACUCUGCCAAGUAGCUCUUGCUUUAAAAACACACUAUUUUGGUUUGCUUAUAACAGAAAGACAAUUAUCAGUGUUAACAUGGGCAAAAGGUAAUGUAUGAAAAGAAAAAUGCUCUGCCUGACUAUGACAGUCAUUGUGGUCACUCCUUCAGGUAUUUAUUGGGUGCCUAUUACAUUCAAGACUACUGCGCUUAGAGAGAAGGAUUGUCCUAACAGUGGGGGACCUUAACACCCCACUUACGUCAGUGGACAGAUCAUCUAGACAGAAAAGUCAAUAGAAACACAGGCCUUAAAUGACAUAUUAGAUCAGAUGGACUUAACUGAUAUUUACAGAGAAUUCCAUCCAAAAUCAGCAGAAUACACAUUCUUCUCCAGUGUACAUGAAAC